rnacentral:lncRNA from 1 species
AUGUACCUGCUAUACGGGGAAUCUCUGACCCUGAGUCUUUUCAGCUGGCACUUGGGGGAGCUAAGAAUUAGCUUUCUACCUCACUUUUGUUACUACUGUCCUUUUCCCAAGGCUUUGCUGUCUCCUAUGCUUUCCUUCACUUUUCACAGCUGCUGUUUCUUCCCAAGAAUGGCAUUCAUGCUUGCCUUUCCUCACAUUCAGGAUGACGAUGGACAAAGCCUGAUGCCAAGACUCAGUCCUGGUGAAGGAUUUGUGGUGCUAAUCCCAACGCUUGACCUUGGCAGAAAGCAUGGCCCAGUCCAACUCAAGCUCUUGUUCACCUAUGCUGCAGCCAGUAAUCUAAGAACACCCAGAAAGCAGGUGUGCUGGCCAGAGUUCCCAGAACAAGAACUUUAGGGUAUACUGAAGCCGAGUGCUGUACAGGGAGAAUUCUGUGAAUCCAAAAACCUUCCUCUCUGGGCUGCCUGCCUGUAAGUGCCGUAAGCAGUUUAUACAGGAGUAAGGAUUGAAUCUUGGUAUUAUCUAUCAAUCACAAGAAGUGGAAUAUAAACCUGCAGUGUACAUUUUUCUCCAGUGAAAGUACAGAAGCCAAACCAAGCCAUUCUUUGUGUUAACUUUAAAACUGAAAGGUCAUUCUAAGGGUCCCCUUUGUCCUUCACUGCUGCCACGUGAAAUCUUUGGGAGGACGGCUGAAGAAGAGCUCGGGAAAGCGGUUCUCCUGUGAACUGGGACGUUUUCUUCUCUGGUAAUAAAGCGUAACAUGGCUGUGGCUGUCGGGUACUUACGAAUGCUAGAAACUAUUCUUAAGUACUCAGGUCGAAUAUAAGGUAGAGUAGCUCCCACACUAGCCUAAGUUAAUGUAAACAGUUCAGUUCUGUUUGUUUUUAGUAACACUUCACGAUGUUUCUAACAGGUGGUUCUCACUUUAUAUUCAUUAAUUUGAGACCAUUUUAUAGAGACACUUCUUGGGUAUUAUAAACAAUCAAUGGUAAAAGAUAAUAUCCAGUGAUAUUAUCCAUAUCACUGUCCUCAAAAAAUUAUUUAUUGUGGGAUUCAAGAAAGACAUCUGUGCAAUGUUAACAAAAGAAAUAAAUUCAAAUAAAACCUAAAAGGUGUCAAAGGCAAAUGAUUUGCCAAAGGUUAAAGCUAGUUAACACAAAAGCUAGAAUUAUAACCAUGAUAUAAGAAAAACAAAUCCUCAAAAUAAUUUAACUGAAUUUUUGUUGUGCUGUAUUGGGUUGCUUGCUGAAGUUUGUGGUUUUCAGACCAGCUGUAACAUUCCAAACCAGGCAACAGCUAUCGUGGAAAGAGAAUUGUAUGGGGAGUUAGGAGAUCAGAGUUUUAGUUUUGACUUUGUCUCUUGCAGUAAGCUUUUACUCAAGGAUGGCUGCUCUCUCCCUUUCUGGCCAGGGAUUCCCUAACCAUGAAGCUUCAUGGUCAGCAGCUUAGCAUUCUCCAUUCUUUAAAUCUAGCCUCUUACUGUGUCCUGUCAGUUUUUGAAUGUUAUUUGCAUUCAUUUCUUAAAUGUAUUCAUAGCCGUCACUCUAGUAAGUGACUUUAUUACCUCACAUCCUCACCUCAUCUUCCCCAACUUCAGGCCAUUCCUCACAUCACUGCCAUAAGAACCGUCUUUCAUUUUUCUGCUGAAAUAUUUUUGUUGGAUCCUAUUGAACACCUGAUAAAGUUCAGCCUUCUGUUUUAUGGCCCUGGCUUUAUCUCUUAAAACUCACCAUCAGACAAUGCCACUGAAAAUCAGACAUUCCACAAGAAUGGUUUUAAGGUUUUUCUAUGGGGAAGGUAGAAGCUGUUAAUAAACUGUUUACAUUUUUCCAGACUAAAAUAAUUUCUAUAAUACUACUCUUUACAAAGCUAGUCAGCUGAGUUUUAUUUAAGCUCUUGAACAAGCCUGCAAGUUGUUUCCUAAAGAGCAAUCUUUUUCCUCUUUUGUUACAUUCAAUUUCUUAAUCUCCAGAACAGUGUCAGUCUUGCCACCUGUACAGGGGUAGCCAAAGCAUGAGGAUUUUAAUUCAGCAGCGUACGUACUCCAGCCUUUGAUGGACCAUUGUCCAGUCCUGUGGGAAACUUGACUAACAAGUAUUUGCGAACACUCAAGAGUACAUGUUUUCCAUACAUUUCUCAAGUAUGUGAGAUGAUCUUGUAUUAAGGUUAUGACUAAAAGAUGUUUACCUGGGUUUCAUUAAUUAACCUCUUUAAAGAUAUUUUCCAUUUUACUGUUAAAACCCUUGCUGUUAGCAAGAGGUUUAACAGAAGAGGCCCAGUGAUGAGAUUUUCUACAAAUUCUGUAAAGUUUACUGAAUUUGCUUAUUAUGUUGCUGAAUGGUGCUCAUAUAAGGAAACAUGCAAUAAAAUCACUCAUUCAGCAAACAUUUUACUAAACGGCUGUUGUGUGUUGAGUGCCAUUGCCAUAUGUAGAAAAAUAUUAGACUCAUAGAUCUUGUAAGCCAUUCAGGCUGAUGAGUUCAGAUUCUCAAAGCUAGUAAAUCACAGUAAAAUGUGGUACGUACCCUAAAAGAGGAAUGAACAAAGUAAUAUGAGGACACAGAAUGGAGUGACUAGCUCUGCCUGGAAAAGAAGGGGAAGACUUUGUGGAACAUGUGGUAUUUGAGCAGUACCCUAAUGAAGAAAAUACCUGGCCGGGUUUGUGGGCUUUGAAGUCGCAGAGGAACUACAAGUACAAAGGGUUUGAAACGUGAAUGAGUAUAUAAAGCGUGCUUAGAGAAAACCAAGGAAUUAAAUGUGAGUGAUGAAGCUAGUUAAGUGAAAAUACAGACUAGGGUGUAUAUAUUAUACAUGUUUAUAUAUAUAUUAAAUUAUAUACAUCUAAUACAUGUUUAUAUAUUUAAAUAUAUAUAUAUUUAAUUUAAAAAUUCUUUGUUUAAAGGAAUUAAUGUAUCGCUUUGUAUCAGGUAAGACUGUUAUAACCCUCUGAGUUCUUCAUUUUGCCUUCGUUACCAGAGACGUUAGUAGCAAACCUCACAUUUGCCUGAGUUCUUGGUAUAUUUGGUGUAUUUGCUUUCCUUUCCCACAUGUAAGAAAUGAUUUGUGCUUUUUUGCCUCUGCUGUGAGAUCUCUGCUUAAUAUUGAAUGCCUGCUUUCUUCCUAUCCUGUUAUUCAUUCCAUAAAUAUUUAUUGAAAACCCACUGAGAAAAUAGUCAUGAAAUUUACUUUUGCCUUUUAGUGUCCAAGACCUUCAUGGUCCAGUUUUCCAUCUCUGUGUGAAUAUUUCUUGACAGAUGCGAUUCAGUGGCUCCCAUUUUCACUUGUGGCUAAUUCUGCAAUGUUUUACAACUUCGUAGGUGUUAAAUUAUUUCACUUGUGGUAGUGUGAUCUCCCCCACUAGAAUGUAAGCUUCUUAUAGGGCAAGAGCCAUAUCAUCUGCUUCUUGAGAGUAUUUCAUAAUACAAAGUAUCGCGAUGAGAAGGGGAAAAGAAACUACACUCCUGUAUGACUCCCAGAUGAUGAGUGAUGAGGUCAUGGCAUAAGUGUUCUGCUGUUUUCAGGGAUACACACUGAAAUGUUAGAAAGCUUUCUAAGACGUAUCAACUCUUUGCUCAGUACUCACUUUUGUAUAUUAACAUAGGAGUGAAUGAUGCAACAGAAGAAAUCUGGAAAACAUCUCUAGGAUUUGGAAGUCAUGAAUUGAAAUUUUCAGAAUUUGGAGGUAAAGAUAUUUCUAUCUCUUUUUCCAAUUAAAAGUCAUGACUUGGAAAAGAAAGGAUAUAGGACCUGAGUCACUGAAGAAAUGGUGUGGGAAAGCUGAGUUUAUCUCCUGUCUUACCAUACAGCAUUAGUGGGGUCAGAAUAGCAGGGACCCAAGAAGGCUUUAUAAUCUGAUGGUCUAGUAUUGAGACAAGAGUAAUGGCAGGAAUUUAAUUGCUCUUUCAAGCAAGCAGAAAUUUGAAUUAGGCAAGGGCAAGGUUUAAGUUGAGAGGUGAGCAUUUGACAGGAUUUGAACCAAGGUUUCUAAUACUCAGAUUAAUGUAUUUGUUCCACCAAACAGCCUCUGCAGUGAGUUGAUAGGAAAGGAGAGGAAUAAAGUGCUUGGCCCUUACUAAUUCUCCCCUUUUUUAGGUGUUACUUCCCUUUUUUUACUCUCUAGGUUUUAUUGUUCAUAACAGAUGGCUCCUCCUCUCUGGGUUAAGGUAGGGGCCAACAACUCAGGACUUCCUUAGCAUUCCCCUCCCUGCAUCCCCACCUCCCCAGGUACCUUGCCUGUCUUACAGAGUGGUUAUGAAGAUUCAAAAAUGUGUACAUGUUAAAUGGAGCCUGACUCAUAGUAACUGUACAAAUGUUAGUUGCUGCUGUUAUUGUUGUAACCGUUACUGUUAUUUUUCCCCAAAGUUUAAAGGAAAG